GGGAUAUAGGUAUAAGUGUCUCUUAGAUCUGAGAUCGCCUUAGUGACUUGCAAGCAACUCACUGUGUUUUGGUACUGGACUAACUGAAUUUCUAAUUCAGUGAUGGAAGGUUUCUGGGCACAGUCAAGUACUUACAAAGUCAGAGUGUGAUCAAGAUGGAAUUGACCACUCCAAGAGUUGGAGAAGAAUGAGUCGCUGUAUUUCAAUUUAGCAAAAUCUUGGCCAGGGUAAUCCAUCAGAUGGAUUUGAUAUUUUGAAAUACAAUGUGGACAACCUGAUCAGAGU
rnacentral:lncRNA from 1 species